rnacentral:RNase_P_RNA from 1 species
GAAGCUGGCCAGGCAAUCGCUGUAUGAGUUUUAGUGUAUACAGAGGAAAGUCCGGGCUCCGUAGAGCAGAGCGCCAGGUAACGCCUGGAAGGUGAAAGCCUAUGGAAAGUGCAGCAGAAAAGAGACCGCCUACGUACACAGUGUGUGCCGGUAAGGGUGAAAUGGUGCGGUAAGAGCGCACCGCG